rnacentral:rRNA from 1 species
UUUAUUGGAGAGUUUGAUCCUGGCUCAGGAUGAACGCUGGCGGCGUGCCUAAUACAUGCAAGUCGAGCGAACGGAUUAAGAGCUUGCUCUUAAGAAGUUAGCGGCGGACGGGUGAGUAACACGUGGGUAACCUGCCCAUAAGACUGGGAUAACUCCGGGAAACCGGGGCUAAUACCGGAUAACAUCUAGCACCGCAUGGUGCAAGAUUGAAAGGCGGCUUCGGCUGUCACUUAUGGAUGGACCCGCGUCGCAUUAGCUAGUUGGUGAGGUAACGGCUCACCAAGGCGACGAUGCGUAGCCGACCUGAGAGGGUGAUCGGCCACACUGGGACUGAGACACGGCCCAGACUCCUACGGGAGGCAGCAGUAGGGAAUCUUCCGCAAUGGACGAAAGUCUGACGGAGCAACGCCGCGUGAGCGAUGAAGGCCUUCGGGUCGUAAAGCUCUGUUGUUAGGGAAGAACAAGUAUGAGUUGAAUAAGCUCAUGCCUUGACGGUACCUAACCAGAAAGCCACGGCUAACUACGUGCCAGCAGCCGCGGUAAUACGUAGGUGGCAAGCGUUAUCCGGAAUUAUUGGGCGUAAAGCGCGCGCAG